GACGAACGCUGGCGGCGUGCUUAACACAUGCAAGUCGAACGGAAAGGCCCUGCUUUUGUGGGGUGCUCGAGUGGCGAACGGGUGAGUAACACGUGAGUAACCUGCCCUUGACUUUGGGAUAACUUCAGGAAACUGGGGCUAAUACCGGAUAGGAGCUCCUGCUGCAUGGUGGGGGUUGGAGAGUUUCGGCGGUUGGGGAUGGACUCGCGGCUUAUCAGCUUGUUGGUGGGGUAGUGGCUUACCAAGGCUUUGACGGGUAGCCGGCCUGAGAGGGUGACCGGCCACAUUGGGACUGAGAUACGGCCCAGACUCCUACGGGAGGCAGCAGUGGGGAAUAUUGCACAAUGGGCGGAAGCCUGAUGCAGCAACGCCGCGUGCGGGAUGACGGCCUUCGGGUUGUAAACCGCUUUCGCCUGUGACGAAGCGUGAGUGACGGUAAUGGGUAAAGAAGCACCGGCUAACUACGUGCCAGCAGCCGCGGUGAUACGUAGGGUGCGAGCGUUGUCCGGAUUUAUUGGGCGUAAAGGGCUCGUAGGUGGUUGAUCGCGUCGGAAGUGUAAUCUUGGGGCUUAACCCUGAGCGUGCUUUCGAUACGGGUUGACUUGAGGAAGGUAGGGGAGAAUGGAAUUCCUGGUGGAGCGGUGGAAUGCGCAGAUAUCAGGAGGAACACCAGUGGCGAAGGCGGUUCUCUGGGCCUUUCCUGACGCUGAGGAGCGAAAGCGUGGGGAGCGAACGGGCUUAGAUACCCUGGUAGUCCACGCUGUAAACGGUGGGUACUAGGUGUGGGGUCCAUUCCACGGGUUCCGUGCCGUAGCUAACGCUUUAAGUACCCCGCCUGGGGAGUACGGCCGCAAGGCUAAAACUCAAAGGAAUUGACGGGGCCCCGCACAAGCGGCGGAGCAUGCGGAUUAAUUCGAUGCAACGCGUAGAACCUUACCUGGGUUUGACAUGGAUCGGGAGUGCUCAGAGAUGGGUGUGCCUCUUUUGGGGUCGGUUCACAGGUGGUGCAUGGCUGUCGUCAGCUCGUGUCGUGAGAUGUUGGGUUAAGUCCCGCAACGAGCGCAACCCUUGUUCACUGUUGCCAGCACGUUAUGGUGGGGACUCAGUGGAGACCGCCGGGGUCAACUCGGAGGAAGGUGGGGAUGACGUCGAGUCAUCAUGCCCCUUAUGUCCAGGGCUUCACGCAUGCUACAAUGGCUGGUACAGAGAGUGGCGAGCCUGUGAGGGUGAGCGAAUCUCGGAAAGCCGGUCUCAGUUCGGAUUGGGGUCUGCAACUCGACCUCAUGAAGUCGGAGUCGCUAGUAAUCGCAGAUCAGCAACGCUGCGGUGAAUACGUUCCCGGG
rnacentral:rRNA from 1 species